rnacentral:rRNA from 1 species
GACGAACGCUGGCGGCGUGCUUAACACAUGCAAGUCGAGCGGUAAGGCCCUUUCGGGGGUACACGAGCGGCGAACGGGUGAGUAACACGUGGGUGACCUGCCCUCAGCUCUGGGAUAAGCCUGGGAAACCGGGUCUAAUACCGGAUAUGACUCCAUGACGCAUGUUGUGGGGUGGAAAGCCUUGUGCGGCUGAGGAUGGGCCCGCGGCCUAUCAGCUUGUUGGGUGGGGUGAUGGCCUACCAAGGCGACGACGGGUAGCCGGCCUGAGAGGGCGACCGGCCGACACUGGGACUGAGACACGGCCCAGACUCCUACGGGAGGGCAGCAGUGGGGAAUCUUGCGCAGUGGGCGAAAGCCUGACGCAGCGACGCCGCGUGAGGGACGACGGCCU